UUGAUAGCUUUCAUCUAUUCA
ensembl:piRNA 21ur-6725 ncRNA